rnacentral:rRNA from 1 species
GGACUACUAGGGUUUCUAAUCCUGUUUGCUCCCCACGCUUUCGCGCCUCAGCGUCAGUAUUUGGCCAGGUAGCUGCCUUCGCCAUUGACGUUCCUUCCGAUCUCUACGCAUUUCACCGCUACACCGGAAAUUCCGCUACCCUCUCCAAUACUCCAGUCAUACCGUUUGCGAUGCACUUCCUAGGUUAAGCCCAGGGCUUUCACAUCACACUCGUAUAACCGCCUACGCGCCCUUUACGCCCAGUAAUUCCGAUUAACGCUCGCACCCUCUGUAUUACCGCGGCUGCUGGCAC